rnacentral:rRNA from 1 species
GACGAACGCUGGCGGCGUGCUUAACACAUGCAAGUCGAACGGAAAGGCCCUGCUUUUGUGGGGGGCUCGAGUGGCGAACGGGUGAGUAACACGUGAGUAACCUGCCCUUGACUUUGGGAUAACUUCAGGAAACUGGGGCUAAUACCGGAGAGGAGCUCCUGCUACAGGGUGGGGGUUGGAAAGUUUCGGCGGGUGGGGAUGGACUCGCGGCUUAUCAGCUUGUUGGUGGGGUAGUGGCUUACCAAGGCAUUGACGGGUAGCCGGCCUGAGAGGGUGACCGGCGACAUUGGGACUGAGAUACGGCCCAGACUCGUACGGUAGGCAGCAGUGGGGAAUCUUACACAAUGAGUGGAAGCGUGAUGCAGCAACGCCGCGGGCGGGAUGACGGCCCGGGGGUUGCAAACCGCUUUCGCCUGUGACGAAGCGUGAGUGACGGUAAUGGGUAAAGAAGCACCGGCUAACUACGUG